GGGCAUCUCUUCCCUCAAUCAGACGCCAUUGUUCCCGCUCCAUUCACGUGGCACAGUCAGACGCGUGGAUCAAACCCAACGUAAUAGUUCCACCAUUCUUGGCUCUUAAUUCCACCAUUCAAUUAGAAACCAACUUCUGCUGAAAAAAUGGGUAUCAAAUUGAGAUGGCUUUUGUUAUUGUCUUGUCUUUACAUCUCGGUGGAAGCUCACGCCUAUGGCUACAGACCUCAACAGCAGCCGGUCCGGCCGCCUGUUCACGUUGUUAGGCGGCCUUCGACUUAUUCCUACGUUCGGCCGGCAGCAAGUGGCAUCUCGCCCCGGCAGCCGGCCGUCAGAUACGUAUCACCAUCAAUACUACCGGCCGUCAAAAUGUACAGCCAGCGGCCGUUCCAAAAUACGCGGCCACCACCGUACCGCCUGUUGCCAUCAGCACGGCCUCGUACAAGUCAGGUGACUACGUGGCUGGAACGCUUGUUUCCAGCACGACAUCAGCCCCUACACGGCCCGAAGUUGUUUACUAUACAACAGAGCCCGUCUACUACACCAGCACUAGCGCCAAUAGCUACUACGCUCAAUUACCAGCCGAUUCUGGAACAACAGAGUCUCCUUACUACACCGGUUCACGAGUACACUUACGUCGACGCAGGAACAUAUUUUUUGGAGAGGAUGUCGCUCAACAGUUCACCGAAUCGCCUGUCGAUGUUUACGCAUCAGCAGACUACGUUGCAGCCGUUCCAGGAGACUACGUCCCAGCUGGAGCAGGAGCCUAUGCUCCGGCUGUUCCAGCCGACUACGCCACUGCCGUCGAAGCCCAUUACAUGGACGCUGGAUACGAUGCGGGAACAGCCUACUACCCCUACACCGACCCGACGGAGUACUACGCUGCGGCUGCUGGCACUGAACACUAUGCCCAGGACUCUGGCUACUACACCGAAAGCGUUCCAGUCUACGACGGCCAGCAGCAGUAUGUUGCUGGAAGCUAUGUCUACGUCACGGACGUCCCUGUCUAUAGCAACGAGUACGCGACGGCCGCUGCUGUCAAUUACUACGCCAACUUGGCAGCAGGAACAGCCACGUUCAGUCCGUUCAGUGCGGCUAACGUUCAGUACGUUGCUUAAACGAUUUGUGCGUCUAGCUCUAUUGGUGAUAUCUGUUUUCGAGAAACCCAUUUCUUUCGCUGUUAAAGCAUCCCAAAUUGGUUGGCUUUUUCCAGCUCGGCACAAGAGUUUUAACUUACCAAAUGAUAAAACAUGAUGUUAUUAAAUGUUUGUUUGAAUGUUGGUGUGAAUUUUAUAUUCGUUGUAAUCAAUUUUGUUAGUGCCGUGUUGUGAUUUUGAUCGAAUUCCAAAUAAAAUUGAAUUUAUGAAAUCA
rnacentral:sRNA from 1 species